CCUUCCCGAACUCAGAAGUGAAACCUCUUUGCGCUGAUGGUAGUGUGGGAUUACCCAUGUGAGAGUAAGUCAUCGCCAGCA
rnacentral:rRNA from 1 species